GACGAACGCUGGCGGCGUGCUUAACACAUGCAAGUCGAACGGAAAGGCCCUGCUUGCAGGGUACUCGAGUGGCGAACGGGUGAGUAACACGUGGGUGAUCUGCCCUGCACUUCGGGAUAAGCCUGGGAAACUGGGUCUAAUACCGGAUAGGAGCCAUUUUUAGUGUGAUGGUUGGAAAGUUUUUUCGGUGUAGGAUGAGCUCGCGGCCUAUCAGCUUGUUGGUGGGGUAAUGGCCUACCAAGGCGGCGACGGGUAGCCGGCCUGAGAGGGUGGACGGCCACAUUGGGACUGAGAUACGGCCCAGGCUCCUACGGGAGGCAGCAGUGGGGAAUAUUGCACAAUGGGCGCCAGCCUGAUGCAGCGACGCCGCGUGGGGGAUGACGGCCUUCGGGUUGUAAACUCCUUUCGCUAGGGACGAAGCUUUUUGUGACGGUACCUAGAUAAGAAGCACCGGCUAACUACGUG
rnacentral:rRNA from 1 species